AUCGCUUCUCGGCCUAAUGGCUAAGAUCAAGUGUAGUAUCUGUUCUUGAUUUUAGUUCAUUUGGACGAGCUAGUGAUCCUAAACGCUUAUAAAAGAAAGUCUACUGGCUUUCUGGGAGUUUGUGUAAUCUUACCUUGCCCCGUCCACGGGUUGCAAAAGAGUGUUACUAAAAAGUCUACUGGC